GAAGAAAUGGCGCGAGAACAAGAAAGGGGAAAGGAGAGUUGCUGUUUGCUGAAAAAGAUGGCCGCCACAUACGAUUGCUGUAAAAGUGUUUUAUAGAACCUUCCCUCUCUUUGUUUGCAUUUUUAUGUCCGAUUGAUUGCACUGUGAGUUUUGGGUCUUAAAGAUUUUGUACUGAUUGUUAUUCUUGAUUCUUGACUCUCUUGUGCUGGAUGUUAUGAGUAGCAAGAGUGGGUCUUGGAGCUGCCAAUGAAGCGCAUCACUCUGCUUCAAAGAUUAAAUCUAUGAUUCUAUUGUCAAAGAGGAGGUUAAAAUAAAAGAUGGUGCAUCUUUAAUUGGAAAAAGCAGCAGACUCAAGCAAGAGGGUGAAGAAGGACACCUUGUACCUAGCACCCCCAAAAAGAGUGUCAUCCAGAGAUGCCAAGUCUGAAACUGAGGCCAUCAUUAAGGCCCAUGAUUGAAGCCGAUGGUAGGUUGCAACUCAUAUCGCCACUGCUUCUUGAUUGGAUGGAAGUAAUCGAGCAUCCUGGAUAUACUCCUGAGGAAAAGCUCUACUUAGUCAUGAAACAUUUGAUCCCAAGAGUUUUUGACUAGCAUAGAUUGAGUUCUGAGUUUCUUCAGGUUCUAGAGAUGAGGGUGAUAAAUGAGGAACUUGGUGAUAAUAUGACGAUGAUGUGGAUGACCUGACUGCCUCAAAAGAAAGACUCAGAGGGCAGGAAUGUCACAGAAUAUAUGCAAACAGGCACACAGAGUUGAGGUGCUUUUCAAUGGUGGAGGCUUAAGAAAUGUAGCCUCGGCAACCAGGGUAUAACAUUUUACGGGUUUACCUGGAGCUGCUUGCUGAUCUGCCAUGGCAGAAGGCCAGUGAAGAGAUUGAAGUGGACUUGAGAGCUGCACAGAAGCAACUGGACAGUGAUCACUACGGUUUAGUGAAGGUUAAGCAACAAAUAGUUGAAUGCCUAGCGGUUCACAAGCUUAAGCUAGAUGCAAGGGGCUUAAACCAAGCAUUGACAUUAUGGAGUUGGCAGAACAAGAACUUUGGCAGUGAGAAGAGAAGGGGUUGAUUGGCAUCCUGCCAAUGCGUGCUGCUGCUACUGAAACCAAGCCAGUGUGCUCCACUGUAUCUGAAGGUGAUAAGCUGGAUUUUUUUUUUGUUUCCAGAUUAAGAAAAUUAAAUCUGGUUUGCCUAUAUUCUUUUUCAUUCUUCUGCUUCCUUGUAUGUGGAGGAUCUGAUUCUGCGAACCAAAACUCAAAAGCUCAAGGCGGUUCAUCGGAUUCUCUUAAGCUUGAUACUAAAAGGCAGAAUGAUGUUGUUCAGUGGCACAAUACGUAUAAGCUCAAGUGAAUACCUUAUGUUAUUUUGAGGUUCUCAAAUAAAGUUUCUUGAUAAUAAUGUUAUGCAUUCUAACAGUCUCAUUGGUCCAUCUGCAAUCUGUAUUAGGUUAGAUCAGUCAAACAUUGAUAAUAAUGUAAUUGUAACAGUUCAUAGGUCUGUUGUAUUUUUUCACAUAGACACUAUUGUUGUGAUAGUUGUUUCAGGUUGAGAUUAAAAGAGAGGUGUUUACAA